AAUCUCCUCGUAUGUCCGGUUAGGGUAAUGAGUACUAGGGUUGGGUACCGUUUGGAUUUUUCCGAUUCCGAAACCGAUUCUUGAAAAACUGAAAAAUUACAUCAAAGAAAGGCUCUUUUAUAGAUGUGGUAGCCGUAAUAUUGAGAACGGUUAAUAUGUUUUACGUCCGUUUUGGUGAGCCCAGAGGGAAAAUAUGGCAUUUUAAAAGUAGCCUACAUUUACGGUAGCUAGCUAACGGUAGACUACAGAGAGAGGGUGAUAUUUUUACGUUUGUUUCGGAGCGACGGAGGGGAAAUAUUUCAGUCGACACAUUAAUCGCUUGUGUUGACCCUCA